AUUCUUCACUGAACCUCCUGCUCCAGCCUCUGCCUCCUCCAUUUUGAUGUCUAGAAUCAGGGGAUCCAGGAUCAUCAACAAGGUCAUUUUCCCAGACAGGUGUGCUGAGGCUGUAGAAAGUGCUUUUUAUUUGGUUGGGAGCUUGUGCAUAAAUGCGAGAGGGGCUGCACAUCUGACGGACUACAGAGGUGACUCAUGGCUGAACCGGAACAGGACAUCGGGGAGAAGCCAGAAGUCAGAAUUCAGAACCCCAAAGAAAAUGACUUCAUUGAAAUUGAACUGAAGAGGCAAGAACUGAGUUACCAAAACCUACUAAAAGUGAGCUGCUGUGAACUGGGGAUUAACCCAGAACAAGUGGAGAAGAUCAGAAAGCUACCAAACACACUGCUCAGAAAGGUAAGGGUUAACAGUUUCUAAAUGCAGAAUCACAGUGGAUGACAUCAUGUUCUCUGGAGCCAAUCGUUUACACUUUUGCAUUUCAUGACACCAGAAAUCCUGGCUGCAGAAUGGCCAAACAUGGUAGCUAGGUCAUUUUCAAUCUGGCACUUUUAAGAUUUGCACAUCUAAUCCAUAAACCUUUUGAAAACCUCUGAAUGGUCCGAUCACAGUGGCUCACACCAGUACAAUCCCAGCACUUUGGGAAGCCGAGGUGGGCGGAUCACAAGGUCAGGAGAUGGAGACCAUCCUGGCCAACAUGGUGAAACCCCAUCUCUACUAAAAGCACAAAAAUUAGCUGGGCAUGGCAGCGAGUGCCUGUAAUCACAGCUACUUAGGAGGCUGAGGCAGGAGAAUUGCUUGAACCCAGGAGGCGGAGAUUGUGGUGAGCCGAGAUAGCACCACUGCACUCCAGCCUUGUGACACAGCUAGACUCUGUCUCAAAAAAAAAAACAAACCUCUGAAUGACAAGUGACUCCCCAAUUUAAGACUUUAGUUCAGUGCUUUU